GACCUCCCCCAGGGACCCCUACCUCAGGAGCCCCUUUCCCCAGGAAAGGCUCCGGAAGUGAUGGGCCUGCGAGGGGCAGGAUAGCCUCCCGCCGCCUCAGAGGCGCAGGGGAGACCAAGCCACGGACCGCAGGGGGCGCUCGGAGCACGCGCAGUGCCAAGUGAAGGAGCCCAGAGCCACCGGCGAAUCCGGGGCCCCAGGACACGGGACUUGGCUGGGGCUGCGUCCCCAGCCCGGGAGCCCCAGCCCAGUGCUGCCGAGUGGCCUCGGGACUUCCCACACUUCUUCCCUGCUCUGCGUUCGCGGGGGAAAAAGGCGGGAAGUCUGUGGAAGGAGGAAGGGGAGCCCGAACCCCGGGCCACCGCUUCCAACCGCAGGCGCACGCCAGCACAGCCGCCCUCCACGGAGGCCGAUUGCUCCGAUCCAGAAGCCCCCCAACUAAGAGGGAAGAAGGAAGAAACCCGCUGAGUCUCGGCAACCCAGACAUUCGGUCCCCGCCUCCUCCCUCAGCUGAAAAGUCACACUGAAGACCAAGGCUACCUUCGGAGCUGAAGGACCUUCAGGCUGCAACUAUGGGAGGUGUCAGAAAAGAAGCCCAAGGUUUCCUGCGGGGGCAUGUCUGCCAAUUGAGUCAGUAGUUGUCCGGAAGACGGAUGAUUGAACUACCCUGAGGAGCAGCAAAAACGGGCAAUCAAAAACUUUAAACUGAAAAAUAAAAACUUUACCCAUUCCCCCAAAGACUUUAUUUCUGUGCCUUAACGUUAAAACAAGACCACUAACAACAAUAAUAAAAU